rnacentral:rRNA from 1 species
GCGGCGUGCUUAACACAUGCAAGUCGAACGGAAAGGCCCUGCUUUUGUGGGGUGCUCGAGUGGCGAACGGGUGAGUAACACGUGAGUAACCUGCCCUUGACUUUGGGAUAACUUCAGGAAACUGGGGCUAAUACCGGAUAGGAGCUCCUGCUGCAUGGUGGGGGUUGGAAAGUUUCGGCGGUUGGGGAUGGACUCGCGGCUUAUCAGCUUGUUGGUGGGGUAGUGGCUUACCAAGGCUUUGACGGGUAGCCGGCCUGAGAGGGUGACCGGCCACAUUGGGACUGAGAUACGGCCCAGACUCCUACGGGAGGCAGCAGUGGGGAAUAUUGCACAAUGGGCGGAAGCCUGAUGCAGCAACGCCGCGUGCGGGAUGACGGCCUUCGGGUUGUAAACCGCUUUCGCCUGUGACGAAGCGUGAGUGACGGUAAUGGGUAAAGAAGCACCGGCUAACUACGUGCCAGCAGCCGCGGUGAUACGUAGGGUGCGAGCGUUGUCCGGAUUUAUUGGGCGUAAAGGGCUCGUAGGUGGUUGAUCGCGUCGGAAGUGUAAUCUUGGGGCUUAACCCUGAGCGUGCUUUCGAUACGGGUUGACUUGAGGAAGGUAGGGGAGAAUGGAAUUCCUGGUGGAGCGGUGGAAUGCGCAGAUAUCAGGAGGAACACCAGUGGCGAAGGCGGUUCUCUGGGCCUUUCCUGACGCUGAGGAGCGAAAGCGUGGGGAGCGAACAGGCUUAGAUACCCUGGUAGUCCACGCUGUAAACGGUGGGUACUAGGUGUGGGGUCCAUUCCACGGGUUCCGUGCCGUAGCUAACGCUUUAAGUACCCCGCCUGGGGAGUACGGCCGCAAGGCUAAAACUCAAAGGAAUUGACGGGGCCCCGCACAAGCGGCGGAGCAUGCGGAUUAAUUCGAUGCAACGCGUAGAACCUUACCUGGGUUUGACAUGGAUCGGGAGUGCUCAGAGAUGGGUGUGCCUCUUUUGGGGUCGGUUCACAGGUGGUGCAUGCCUGUCGUCAGCUCGUGUCGUGAGAUGUUGGGUUAAGUCCCGCAACGAGCGCAACCCUUGUUCACUGUUGCCAGCACGUUAUGGUGGGGACUCAGUGGAGACCGCCGGGGUCAACUCGGAGGAAGGUGGGGAUGACGUCAAGUCCUCAUGCCCCUUAUGUCCAGGGCUUCACGCAUGCUACAAUGGCUGGUACAGAGAGUGGCGAGCCUGUGAGGGUGAGCGAAUCUCGGAAAGCCGGUCUCAGUUCGGAUUGGGGUCUGCAACUCGACCUCAUGAAGUCGGAGUCGCUAGUAAUCGCAGAUCAGCAACGCUGCGGUGAAUACGUUCCCGGGGCUUGUACACACCGCCCGUCAAGUCAUGAAAGUUGGUAACACCCGAAGCCGGUGGCCUAACCGUUGUGGGGGAGCCGUCGAAGGUGGGACUGGUGAUUAGG